rnacentral:lncRNA from 1 species
UCUCUGGCAUCUUGAAUUUAGGGCCCUUCAGUUUCGCAUCUGGACCUUCAAUAUUCACAUCUGGAACAUCAACGUCCACCUUGGGUCCUGAGACGUCAAGGUCAGCCUUGGGCAGGUUCACAUCCACAUCUGGGCCCUCUCCUUUGAAGCCAGGCAUGCUGAACUUGGGCAUUUUCACCUUGGGCAUCUUCAGCUUCCCUUCUGGACCUUCAAGGCUCACAUCUGGGACUUCAACAUCCACCUUGGGUCCUGAGACAACAACAUCAGCCUUGGGCAAGUUCACAUCCACUUCUGGGCCCUCUGCUUUGAAGCCAGGCAUGCUGAACUUGGGCAUUUUCAUCUUGGGCAUCUUCAGGUGCCAGUCUGGGCCUUGAACCUCCACAUCUGGGGCAUCAAUGUCCAUUUUGGGUCCUUUGAUUUCAACAUCUGGCACUUUCAUUUCACC